GGCUCCCUGAGGUGUUCGUCAAUUGGUUACGUCCCUCGAGCCGAUAAUUACCAGUAUGGAUUUUUCUAGCAAGUGUUGUGUGCAUGUCCGUCUUCGGAAAGCCUUAUACACUUCGGAGAUCUCCUCCUUGAACCUUCGGGUUCAGGGCCACAACCAGUAACGGCAUCUUGGGGAGUCU
rnacentral:other from 1 species